GAUGAACGCUGGCGGCGUGCCUAAUACAUGCCAGUCGAGCGAACGGACGAGAAGCUUGCUUCUCUGAUGUUAGCGGCGGACGGGUGAGUAACACGUGGAUAACCUACCUAUAAGACUGGGAUAACUUCGGGAAACCGGAGCUAAUACCGGAUAAUAUUUUGAACCGCAUGGUUCAAAAGUGAAAGACGGUCUUGCUGUCACUUAUAGAUGGAUCCGCGCUGCAUUAGCUAGUUGGUAAGGUAACGGCUUACCAAGGCAACGAUGCAUAGCCGACCUGAGAGGGUGAUCGGCCACACUGGAACUGAGACACGGUCCAGACUCCUACGGGAGGCAGCAGUAGGGAAUCUUCCGCAAUGGGCGAAAGCCUGACGGAGCAACGCCGCGUGAGUGAUGAAGGUCUUCGGAUCGUAAAACUCUGUUAUUAGGGAAGAACAUAUGUGUAAGUAACUGUGCACAUCAUGACGGUACCUAAUCAGAAAGCCACGGCUAACUACGUG
rnacentral:rRNA from 1 species